rnacentral:rRNA from 1 species
ACACAGAGAUGUGUCUUUCAGUUCGGCUGGACCCGGAUACAGGUGCUGCAUGGCUGUCGUCAGCUCGUGUCGUGAGAUGUUGGGUUAAGUCCCGCAACGAGCGCAACCCUCGCCCUUAGUUGCCAGCAUUUAGUUGGGCACUCUAAGGGGACUGCCGGUGAUAAGCCGAGAGGAAGGUGGGGAUGACGUCAAGUCCUCAUGGCCCUUACGGGCUGGGCUACACACGUGCUACAAUGGUGGUGACAGUGGGCAGCGAGCACGCGAGUGUGAGCUAAUCUCCAAAAGCCAUCUCAGUUCGGAUUGCACUCUGCAACUCGAGUGCAUGAAGUUGGAAUCGCUAGUAAUCGUGGAUCAGCAUGCCACGGUGAAUACGUUCCCGGGCCUU